rnacentral:rRNA from 1 species
CCUACGGGUGGCAGCAGUGGGGAAUAUUGGACAAUGGGCGAAAGCCUGAUCCAGCCAUGCCGCGUGUGUGAAGAAGGCCUUCGGGUUGUAAAGCACUUUCAGUGGGGAAGAAAGCCUUGGGGCUAAUACCCUCGAGGAAGGACAUCACCCACAGAAGAAGCACCGGCUAACUCCGUGCCAGCAGCCGCGGUAAUACGGAGGGUGCGAGCGUUAAUCGGAAUUACUGGGCGUAAAGGGCGCGUAGGCGGUCUGAUAAGCCGGUUGUGAAAGCCCCGGGCUCAACCUGGGAACGGCAUCCGGAACUGUCAGGCUAGAGUGCAGGAGAGGAAGGUAGAAUUCCCGGUGUAGCGGUGAAAUGCGUAGAGAUCGGGAGGAAUACCAGUGGCGAAGGCGGCCUUCUGGACUGACACUGACGCUGAGGUGCGAAAGCGUGGGUAGCAAACAGGAUUAGAUACCCCUGUAGUC